rnacentral:rRNA from 1 species
CAAUAUUUGUUACUCCUACGGGAGGCAGCAGUGGGGAAUAUUGCACAAUGGGCGCAAGCCUGAUGCAGCCAUGCCGCGUGUAUGAAGAAGGCCUUCGGGUUGUAAAGUACUUUCAGCGAGGAGGAAGGUGUUGUGGUUAAUAACCACAGCAAUUGACGUUACUCGCAGAAGAAGCACCGGCUAACUCCGUGCCAGCAGCCGCGGUAAUC